rnacentral:lncRNA from 1 species
CCUUUAUUCCUAAUAUAAUAAGAGGGAAUAACAAUUCUCCAACUCUAAAAAAUACUGUUUUGGAUAUAAGGAGGGGAAUAAGAGCUUAUUCUCUUUCUUAUAACCGAACCAAAUAUAACCUUAUUAGAGAAUAAUGGGUGUUUUCUAUUUGCUCUAUAUAUGAAAGCUCAAGCUUCUCUCUAGGCUCAGUAAAAAGUUUUGAGACUAGACAUGAGUAAUACAAUUAUAUAGAAUUAAGUUUUCAGCCUAAAUAUGAAGUUUCGAGGGUAGACUAAAGAGGAGUGUUGAAUAUAAAUAUUAAAAAUACCGUUCUUUGGAAGCUUAAGUUUCGCCUUAGGCAUAUUAAAAAAUUUCGAAUCUAGAUGUGAGGGAAAGAAUAUAAAUAUUAAAAAUAUUCAUUUUAUAAAAGUUUACGCUUUUGGAGCUAAACAAUUGUUUCACAUUAUUUAACAGUAUCAUUCCUUACGGCGCCUGUGAGUGAGAUAAUUUUCUAUUGCACUUUUCUACAGCAUAGUGCAUACACUUAUUGCCAAGUUUCAAUUAUGAAAGAAUGGCAUAACACAACAUGAGUUUUCUGUGAGAUCACAUAUCAUCAUUCAAACUUCAGCCGGACUGCAAGUCAUUAUCUAAAAUUUAGCUAUCAGAAAACUAAAGAAUAUUUAUCAUGUGAAAAUCAUGUGCUGAUGGCAACUAAAAAACUUGACGAAGUACCGACCGUCCCUAGAGCAAGUGGCAAAGGGCUUGGUGGUUGGUACCCGAGACCUAAGUUCGAAUCCUAGUUGAUUCACAUUUCCAGCUAAAUUUAUUUCUAAAUGAAAUAAACGAAGCGGGUAGCGUUCUUCCUAUUUCUCAAAAAAAAAAAAAAAAACAAGUUUAUACAAUUCUGGAACUACUUAAUUUUCA